AUUGAACGCUGGCGGCAGGCUUAACACAUGCAAGUCGAGCGGAGAUGAGGUGCUUGCACCUUAUCUUAGCGGCGGACGGGUGAGUAAUGCUUAGGAAUCUGCCAUUUAGUGGGGGACAACAUUCCGAAAGGAAUGCUAAAACCGCAUACGUCCUACGGGAGAAAGCAGGGGAUCUUCGGACCUUGCGCUAAAUGAUGAGCCUAAGUCGGAUUAGCUAGUGGGUGGGGUAAAGGCCUACCAAGGCGACGAUCUGUAGCGGGUCUGAGAGGAUGAUCCGCAACACUGGGACUGAGACACGGCCCAGACUCCUACGGGAGGCAGCAGUGGGGAAUAUUGGACAAUGGGCGGAAGCCUGAUCCAGCCAUGCGGCGUGUGUGAAGAAGGCCUUUUGGUUGUAAAGCACUUUAAGCGAGGAGGAGGCUACUAGUACUAAUACUACUGGAUAGUGGACGUUACUCGCAGAAUAAGCACCGGCUAACUCUGUGCCAGCCGCCGCCGUAAGAC
rnacentral:rRNA from 1 species